UAAGUGCCCCGCCUGGGGAGUACGAUCGCAAGAUUAAAACUCAAAGGAAUUGACGGGGCCCCGCACAAGCAGCGGAGCAUGCGGCUUAAUUCGACGCAACGCGAAGAACCUUACCAAGGCUUGACAUAUACAGGAAUAUGGCAGAGAUGUCAUAGCCGCAAGGUCUGUAUACAGGUGGUGCAUGGUUGUCGUCAGCUCGUGUCGUGAGAUGUCGGGUUAAGUCCCGCAACGAGCGCAACCCUCGUUCUGUGUUGCCAGCAUUAAGUUGGGGACUCACAGGAGACUGCCGGGGUUAACUCGGAGGAAGGUGGGGAUGACGUCAAAUCAUCAUGCCCCUUAUGUCUUGGGCUGCACGCAUGCUACAAUGGCUGGUACAAACGGCUGCGAUACCGCAAGGUGGAGCGAAUCCGAUAAAGCCAGUCUCAGUUCGGAUUGGGGUCUGCAACUCGACCCCAUGAAGUCGGAGUUGCUAGUAAUCGUAGAUCAGCAACGCUACGGUGAAUACGUUCCCGGGGCUUGUACACACCGCCCGUCACGUCACGAAAGUCGGUAACACCCGAAGUCAGUGGCC
rnacentral:rRNA from 1 species